UGAGGAAUAUUGGUCAAUGGGCGAGAGCCUGAACCAGCCAAGUCGCGCGAGGGAAGACAGUCCUAUGGAUUGUAAACCUCUUUUGCCGGGGAGCAAAGAGCGGCACGUGUGCCGCGCCGAGAGUACCCGGAGAAAAAGCAUCGGCUAACUCCGUGCC
rnacentral:rRNA from 1 species